rnacentral:rRNA from 1 species
GUGGGGAAUAUUGGACAAUGGGCGAAAGCCUGAUCCAGCCAUGCCGCGUGUGUGAAGAAGGUCUUCGGAUUGUAAAGCACUUUAAGUUGGGAGGAAGGGCCAUUACCUAAUACGUGAUGGUUUUGACGUUACCGACAGAAUAAGCACCGGCUAACUCUGUGCCAGCAGCCGCGGUAAUACAGAGGGUGCAAGCGUUAAUCGGAAUUACUGGGCGUAAAGCGCGCGUAGGUGGGUCGUUAAGUUGGAUGUGAAAUCCCCGGGCUCAACCUGGGAACUGCAUUCAAAACUGUCGAGCUAGAGUAUGGUAGAGGGUGGUGGAAUUUCCUGUGUAGCGGUGAAAUGCGUAGAUAUAGGAAGGAACACCAGUGGCGAAGGCGACCACCUGGACUGAUACUGACACUGAGGUGCGAAAGCGUGGGGAGCAAACAGG